rnacentral:rRNA from 1 species
UCUGGUUCAGGAUGAACGCUGGCGGCGUGCUUAACACAUGCAAGUCGAACGGAGCUAGAAGGAAGCUUGCUUCAUUAAGCUUAGUGGCGGACGGGUGAGUAACGCGUGAGUAACCUGCCCUUGAGAGGGGAAUAACAUCGAGAAAUCGGUGCUAAUACCGCAUAAUGUCGGAGUACCGCAUGACAUUCCGACCAAAGAUUUUAUCGCUCAAGGAUGGACUCGCGUCCGAUUAGCUGGUUGGUGAGGUAACGGCCCACCAAGGCUUCGAUCGGUAGCCGAACUGAGAGGUUGAUCGGCCACAUUGGGACUGAGACACGGCCCAGACUCCUACGGGAGGCAGCAGUGGGGAAUAUUGGGCAAUGGGCGCAAGCCCUGACCCAGCAACGCCGCGUGAAGGAUGAAGGUCUUCGGAUUGUAAACUUCUUUGAUUGGGGAAGAAUAAAUGACCUACCCAAAGAACAAGCCACGGCUAACUACGUGCCAGCAGCCGC